AUUGAACGCUGGCGGCAUGCCUUACACAUGCAAGUCGAACGGCAGCACGGGUGCUUGCACCUGGUGGCGAGUGGCGAACGGGUGAGUAAUACAUCGGAACGUACCUUAUCGUGGGGGAUAACGCAGCGAAAGCUGUGCUAAUACCGCAUACGCCCUGAGGGGGAAAGCGGGGGAUCGCAAGACCUCGCGCGAUUAGAGCGGCCGAUGCCUGAUUAGCUUGUUGGUGGGGUAAAAGCCCACCAAGGCGACGAUCAGUAGCUGGUCCGAGAGGACGAUCAGCCACACUGGGACUGAGACACGGCCCAGACUCCUACGGGAGGCAGCAGUGGGGAAUUUUGGACAAUGGGGGCAACCCUGAUCCAGCAAUGCCGCGUGAGUGAAGAAGGCCUUCGGGUUGUAAAGCUCCUUUGUCAGGGAAGAAACACCGGCUCUAACACAGUCCGGGAAUGACGGUACCUGAAGAAUAAGCACCGGCUAACUACGUGCCAGCCGCCGCGGUAA
rnacentral:rRNA from 1 species